rnacentral:tRNA from 1 species
GUAAUGGUGGUUCAGUGGUAGAAUUCUGGUCUUCCAUGUGAGAGACCUGAGUUUUAUUCCCAGCCAGUGCA